rnacentral:snoRNA from 1 species
AUUCCAUUAUGAGGGUAUUUUUGUAAUAGUUCUUUCAAUCCUUCACAAGCCUCAUACAAGGAAUCAUCACUUAUUUGUUGGAAAGUAGUGAUUUCAUUUCACAACUU